rnacentral:sRNA from 1 species
GAGCACAGGGACUACGCCAUGUCCUCAGAAGAGGCGAUUCUCAGGCUCUGGCAGUUAGAGCUUCUCCUCACCCUGCUGAGCGACCAGGCCACGGGACUCUGUGCAUCGCCACCCAGAGUGUUACCCUCUUCCUUGUUCUCGGCAGUGUGUGAGAAAGAGGUCCUCUCUCAGAUGAAUGGAUAAAGAAAAUGCGGGACAUAUGCAAGAAGAAUAAAUGUCUCUGGUGGAACUUUUGCUGUGGUGGAACUGCUUUUCUAGAACUGGUGGCUAAAGCAAUCCUAGUGAGACAAUGCAUAAGUAAUAGUAACAGAGGAGUUAAGCAGUUGUGAUUUUCUGCUCCAAUAAUAGAAUGAAGUCUCAAGUUUUCACGUAGAGACAAGUCCCUGAGACCUGCCGUGUCCCAGCAGAUUUCCUGCA